GGUUCCUACGGGGCGCAGCGGUGGGGAAUAUUGGACAAUGGGGGGAACCCUGAUCCAGCGACGCCGCGUGAGUGAAGAAGUAUCUCGGUAUGUAAGGCUCUAUCAGCAGGGAAGAAAGAAAUGACGGUACCUGACUAAGAAGCCCCGGCUAACUACGUGCCAGCAGCCGCGGUAAUACGUAGGGGGCAAGCGUUAUCCGGAUUUACUGGGUGUAAAGGGUGCGUAGGUGGCAGGGCAAGUCAGAUGUGAAAGCCCGGGGCCCAACCCCAGUACUGCAUUUGGAACUGUCCGGCUGGAGUGCAGGG
rnacentral:rRNA from 1 species